GAUUUGCAUUAAAGCCGUCUGAAAAGACCUUGCACCAUAGGUGCUGGUGGUCUGCACUGUGGUUUUUAAUGUUCACUGUUAAGAGGCUAAGAAAAUGAGCACUCUAGACUGGACUGGCAAUAUUAUGCAUCAUAAGCACAAUCACAUUGUUUCCAGUACAAAAAAAGCAAGCACGAGGCUGCUGUAGCUGCCGAACAGAGAACCAGAUUUCCCUUGGGUGUUUGCUGUGAGCAUAACAGCUCAAUAGAGAGCAAACAGAGGCUGCCGGCAGACCCACCCAGCAGGAGCAGGGGGGUAGCUGUGGGGGGAUAAGAGACGAUGGAGGAAACAUCGAGGCCGAGAGGAGAGCUGAGAGGACCCAGGCCUCGACAGCC